rnacentral:rRNA from 1 species
CGUGGGGAACCUGCCCCAUAGUCUGGGAUACCACUUGGAAACAGGUGCUAAUACCGGAUAAGAAAGCAGAUCGCAUGAUCAGCUUUUAAAAGGCGGCGUAAGCUGUCGCUAUGGGAUGGCCCCGCGGUGCAUUAGCUAGUUGGUAAGGUAAAGGCUUACCAAGGCGAUGAUGCAUAGCCGAGUUGAGAGACUGAUCGGCCACAUUGGGACUGAGACACGGCCCAAACUCCUACGGGAGGGCAGCAGGC